AGAGUUUGAUCCUGGCUCAGGAUGAACGCUGGCGGCGUGCUUAACACAUGCAAGUCGAACGGGAAAUAUUUCAUUGAGACUUCGGUGGAUUUGAUCUAUUUCUAGUGGCGGACGGGUGAGUAACGCGUGGGUAACCUGCCUUAUACAGGGGGAUAACAGUCAGAAAUGGCUGCUAAUACCGCAUAAGCGCACAGAGCUGCAUGGCUCAGUGUGAAAAACUCCGGUGGUAUAAGAUGGACCCGCGUUGGAUUAGCUAGUUGGUGGGGUAACGGCCCACCAAGGCGACGAUCCAUAGCCGGCCUGAGAGGGUGAACGGCCACAUUGGGACUGAGACACGGCCCAGACUCCUACGGGAGGCAGCAGUGGGGAAUAUUGCACAAUGGGGGAAACCCUGAUGCAGCGACGCCGCGUGAAGGAAGAAGUAUCUCGGUAUGUAAACUUCUAUCAGCAGGGAAGAUAGUGACGGUACCUGACUAAGAAGCCCCGGCUAACUACGUGCCAGCAGCCGCGGUAAUACGUAGGGGGCAAGCGUUAUCCGGAUUUACUGGGUGUAAAGGGAGCGUAGACGGUGUGGCAAGUCUGAUGUGAAAGGCAUGGGCUCAACCUGUGGACUGCAUUGGAAACUGUCAUACUUGAGUGCCGGAGGGGUAAGCGGAAUUCCUAGUGUAGCGGUGAAAUGCGUAGAUAUUAGGAGGAACACCAGUGGCGAAGGCGGCUUACUGGACGGUAACUGACGUUGAGGCUCGAAAGCGUGGGGAGCCAACAAGAUUAGAUACCCUGGUAGUCCACGCCGUAAAC
rnacentral:rRNA from 1 species